UACGGGGGGGGCAAGCGUUGUUCGGAAUUACUGGGCGUAAAGGGCUCGUAGGUGGCCAACUAAGUCAGGCGUGAAAUCCCUCGGCUUAACCGGGGAACUGCGUCUGAUACUGGAUGGCUGGAGUUUGGGAGAGGGAUGCGGAAUUCCAGGUGUAGCGGUGAAAUGCGUAGAUAUCUGGAGGAACACCGGUGGCGAAGGCGGCAUCCUGGACCAAUACUGACGCUGAGGAGCGAAAGCCAGGGGAGCAAACGGG
rnacentral:rRNA from 1 species